GGACUACACGGGUAUCUAAUCCUGUUUGCUCCCCACGCUUUCGCUGCUCAGUGUCAGUUACCUUCCAGGUCGCCGCCUUCGCCUCUGGUGUUCCUCCCGAUAUCUACGAAUUUCACCUCUACACCGGGAAUUCCGCGACCCUCUCCGGCACUCAAGCUCGCCAGUUUCGCGCGCACUUUCCAGGUUGAGCCUGGAGCUUUCACACGCGACUUAACAAGCCACCUACCAGCGCUUUACGCCCAAUAAUUCCGAACAACGCUCGCACCCUCUGUAUUACCGCGGCUGCUGGCAC
rnacentral:rRNA from 1 species